GUAAUGUCUGGGAAACUGCCUGAUGGAGGGGGAUAACUACUGGAAACGGUGGCUAAUACCGCAUAACGUCGCAAGACCAAAGAGGGGGACCUUCGGGCCUCUUGCCAUCAGAUGUGCCCAGAUGGGAUUAGCUAGUUGGUGAGGUAACGGCUCACCAAGGCGACGAUCCCUAGCUGGUCUGAGAGGAUGACCAGCCACACUGGAACUGAGACACGGUCCAGACUCCUACGGGAGGCAGCAGUGGGGAAUAUUGCACAAUGGGCGCAAGCCUGAUGCAGCCAUGCCGCGUGUAUGAAGAAGGCCUUCGGGUUGUAAAGUACUUUCAGCGGGGAGGAAGGUGUUGUGGUUAAUAACCGCAGCAAUUGACGUUACCCGCAGAAGAAGCACCGGCUAACUCCGUGCCAGCAGCCGCGGUAAUACGGAGGGUGCAAGCGUUAAUCGGAAUUACUGGGCGUAAAGCGCACGCAGGCGGUCUGUCAAGUCGGAUGUGAAAUCCCCGGGCUCAACCUGGGAACUGCAUUCGAAACUGGCAGGCUUGAGUCUUGUAGAGGGGGGUAGAAUUCCAGGUGUAGCGGUGAAAUGCGUAGAGAUCUGGAGGAAUACCGGUGGCGA
rnacentral:rRNA from 1 species